CCUCCUGGGCACAAAAUUGGCCCAUGUUCCCCAGUCUCCAGCUUUCACAGCAGUUAUGUAUGACUUUGUGACCAAGUUCUGGGUAAUAGAAGGUGCGCAGAAGGGAUGUGUAUCACUCUCUGUCCUUACCCAUGAACUCCUCUGGUGCAAUUCUCCACACUCUCUCUUCUAAUUGGAUGCAAAGAUCCAGCAGAAGACCCCACAGAUCUAGGAGAAAGCAAGCCAACAAUGGGAGAAACUCAAGCCUCUGAAUGACAACAUAGAAGGCCACUCACAAUCCACAGGUCUUUUUUUUUUUUUAACACCUAUUAUGCCAUGAAUUCAUAGAGAAGAGGUUCCAGCAGCUCAGGCUCCUCCCCAUGGGUUCUCACAAAGUGCACUUCUCUGGAUGGAGCAGGCUGGGGCUUCAGUUGAACACAGAUAAUUAUAUUAUCACAGUAUUUGACAAUUGGAAGAGACUUUAAGAUCACCUGACUCAAUGCCUUCACAGAAAGAGAAGCUGUCUUCAAGAGGUUACGUGACUAUCAGAGCUCACAUCUCUGACAAGCAGAAAAGCCAAGUUGAAAACCCAAGCUCUAAGUCUGGCCAAUGAUGCUUUGGGAUUCUCCAAGAUGAAUUCAAUGUUGAUUAUAAGAUCUUAUAAGCUAAAUUAUGAGUUUUGCUAAGAAGACAUUACUU
rnacentral:lncRNA from 1 species